rnacentral:rRNA from 1 species
GACGAACGCUGGCGGCGUGCUUAACACAUGCAAGUCGAACGGAAAGGCCCUGCUUUUGUGGGGUGCUCGAGUGGCGAACGGGUGAGUAACACGUGAGUAACCUGCCCUUGACUUUGGGAUAACUUCAGGAAACUGGGGCUAAUACCGGAUAGGAGCUCCUGCUGCAUGGUGGGGGUUGGAAAGUUUCGGCGGUUGGGGAUGGACUCGCGGCUUAUCAGCUUGUUGGUGGGGUAGUGGCUCACCAAGGCUUUGACGGGUAGCCGGCCUGAGAGGGUGACCGGCCACAUUGGGACUGAGAUACGGCCCAGACUCCUACGGGAGGCAGCAGUGGGGAAUAUUGCACAAUGGGCGGAAGCCUGAUGCAGCAACGCCGCGUGCGAGAUGACGGCCUUCGGGUUGUAAACCGCUUUCGCCUGUGACGAAGCGUGAGUGACGGUAAUGGGUAAAGAAGCACCGGCUAACUACGUGCCAGCAGCCGCGGUGAUACGUAGGGUGCGAGCGUUGUCCGGAUUUAUUGGGCGUAAAGGGCUCGUAGGUGGUUGAUCGCGUCGGAAGUGUAAUCUUGGGGCUUAACCCUGAGCGUGCUUUCGAUACGGGUUGACUUGAGGAAGGUAGGGGAGAAUGGAAUUCCUGGUGGAGCGGUGGAAUGCGCAGAUAUCAGGAGGAACACCAGUGGCGAAGGCGGUUCUCUGGGCCUUUCCUGACGCUGAGGAGCGAAAGCGUGGGGAGCGAACAGGCUUAGAUACCCUGGUAGUCCACGCUGUAAACGGUGGGUACUAGGUGUGGGGUCCAUUCCACGGGUUCCGUGCCGUAGCUAACGCUUUAAGUACCCCGCCUGGGGAGUACGGCCGCAAGGCUAAAACUCAAAGGAAUUGACGGGGCCCCGCACAAGCGGCGGAGCAUGCGGAUUAAUUCGAUGCAACGCGUAGAACCUUACCUGGGUUUGACAUGGAUCGGGAGUGCUCAGAGAUGGGUGUGCCUCUUUUGGGGUCGGUUCACAGGUGGUGCAUGCCUGUCGUCAGCUCGUGUCGUGAGAUGUUGGGUUAAGUCCCGCAACGAGCGCAACCCUUGUUCACUGUUGCCAGCACGUUAUGGUGGGGACUCAGUGGAGACCGCCGGGGUCAACUCGGAGGAAGGUGGGGAUGACGUCAAGUCAUCAUGCCCCUUAUGUCCAGGGCUUCACGCAUGCUACAAUGGCUGGUACAGAGAGUGGCGAGCCUGUGAGGGUGAGCGAAUCUCGGAAAGCCGGUCUCAGUUCGGAUUGGGGUCUGCAACUCGACCUCAUGAAGUCGGAGUCGCUAGUAAUCGCAGAUCAGCAACGCUGCGGUGAAUACGUUCCCGGGGCU